ensembl:snRNA U4 U4 spliceosomal RNA
AGUUUUGUGCAGUGGCAGUAUCAUAGCCAAUGAGGUUUAUCCAAGGUGUGAUUAUUGCUAAUUGAAAAACAAAAAAGAAAAUGACUGGGGUAUAAAUAAGUACUCUUCCAGUCUAAUAAGUGAAUAUUAAACAUUCAA